rnacentral:rRNA from 1 species
UCCUGGCUCAGGAUGAACGCUAGCGGCAGGCUUAACACAUGCAAGUCGAGGGGUAACAGGAUUUAGUUUACUAGAUUGCUGACGACCGGCGCACGGGUGAGUAACGCGUAUACAAUUUGCCUUUUACUGGAGGAUAGCCAAGAGAAAUUUUGAUUAAUACUCCAUAGUAUUAUUUGAUCACCUGGUCGAGUAAUUAAAGCUCCGGCGGUAAAAGAUGAGUAUGCGUCCUAUUAGCUAGAUGGUAAGGUAACGGCUUACCAUGGCGACGAUAGGUAGGGGUCCUGAGAGGGAGAUCCCCCACACUGGUACUGAGACACGGACCAGACUCCUACGGGAGGCAGCAGUGAGGAAUAUUGGGCAAUGGAGGCAACUCUGACCCAGCCAUGCCGCGUGCAGGAAGACGGCCCUAUGGGUUGUAAACUGCUUUUAUACAGGAAGAAACUUAUCCACGUGUGGAUAACUGACGGUACUGUAAGAAUAAGGACCGGCUAACUCCGUGCCAGCAGCCGCGGUAAUACGGAGGGUCCAAGCGUUAUCCGGAAUCAUUGGGUUUAAAGGGUCCGUAGGCGGGCAAUUAAGUCAGAGGUGAAAUCCCACAGCUCAACUGUGGAACUGCCUUUGAUACUGGUUGUCUUGAGUUAUAGUGAAGUAGAUAGAAUAUGUAGUGUAGCGGUGAAAUGCAUAGAUAUUACAUAGAAUACCGAUUGCGAAGGCAGUCUACUAACUGUACACUGACGCUGAUGGACGAAAGCGUGGGGAGCGAACAGGAUUAGAUACCCUGGUAGUCCACGCCGUAAACGAUGGUCACUAGUUGUUGGGGUCUUGUACCUCAGUUGAUUAAGAGAAAUUGAUAAGUGACCCACCUGG